CGGGUAUCGGGGUAUUUUGUCCAGCAAUGAGAUGCUCUGGAAACAGAAGUUGGAGAUCAAGGUGUGGUCAGCCUGGCUCUUCCUAAGGGCCCUGUGGCAGGCAGCCUGGGUUCCUUGGCUUAUACCGGAUCAGAGGUCUACCUACUCCAGUGGGACUUCAUUUCAACUGAUGCUGGCAGGUGAUCCUACUUGUAAUCGAGAUCACAACUUGAAGUACCAGAAGCCAUGGUUUCAACCUAUGGCUCUGCAG